rnacentral:tRNA from 1 species
GCUCCAAUGGCGGAAUGGUAGACGCAGUGGACUCAAAAUCCACCGGUUAACAGCCAUAGGGGUUCAAGUCCCCUUUGGAGCACCA